rnacentral:rRNA from 1 species
UGGGCGUCGAGCGGCGGACGGGUGAGUAAUGCCUAGGAAAUUGCCUUGAUGUGGGGGAUAACCAUUGGAAACGAUGGCUAAUACCGCAUAAUGCCUACGGGCCAAAGAGGGGGAUCUUCGGACCUCUCGCGUCAAGAUAUGCCUAGGUGGGAUUAGCUAGUUGGUGAGGUAAUGGCUCACCAAGGCGACGAUCCCUAGCUGGUCUGAGAGGAUGAUCAGCCACACUGGAACUGAGACACGGUCCAGACUCCUACGGGAGGCAGCAGUGGGGAAUAUUGCACAAUGGGCGAAAGCCUGAUGCAGCCAUGCCGCGUGUAUGAAGAAGGCCUUCGGGUUGUAAAGUACUUUCAGUUGUGAGGAAGGGGGUAACGUUAAUAGCGUUAUCUCUUGACGUUAGCAACAGAAGAAGCACCGGCUAACUCCGUGCCAGCAGCCGCGGUAAUACGGAGGGUGCGAGCGUUAAUCGGAUUACUGGCGUAAAGGCAUGC